GACGAACGCUGGCGGCGUGCCUAAUACAUGCAAGUUGAGCGAUGAAGAUUGGUGCUUGCUCCAAUUUGAAGAGCAGCGAACGGGUGAGUAACGCGUGGGGAAUCUGCCUUCGAGCGGGGGACAACAUGUGGAAACGAAUGCUAAUACCGCAUAACAACUUUAAAUAUAAGUUUUAAGUUUGAAAGAUGCAAUUGCAUCACUCAAAGACGAUCCCGCGUUGUAUUAGCUAGUUGGUGAGGUAAAGGCUCACCAAGGCGAUGAUACAUAGCCGACCUGAGAGGGUGAUCGGCCACAUUGGGGCUGAGACACGGCCCAAACUCCUACGGGAGGCAGCAGUAGGGAAUCUUCGGCAAUGGACGAAAGUCUGACCGAGCAACGCCGCGUGAGUGAAGAAGGUUUUCGGAUCGUAAAACUCUGUUGGUAGAGAAGAACGUUGGUGAGAGUGGAAAGCUCAUCAAGUGACGGUAACUACCCAGAAAGGGACGGCUAACUACGUG
rnacentral:rRNA from 1 species